GGCCUCGCAGGUUAGUUGGUAGAACGUCUGCGUACAAAACGUAGUCGGCGUCCGUACGUGGGUUCAAGUCCCACCGAGGCCA
rnacentral:tRNA from 1 species